UGGGGAAUAUUGCACAAUGGGCGCAAGCCUGAUGCAGCCAUGCCGCGUGUAUGAAGAAGGCCUUCGGGUUGUAAAGUACUUUCAGCGGGGAGGAAGGUGUUGUGGUUAAUAACCACAGCAAUUGACGUUACCCGCAGAAGAAGCACCGGCUAACUCCGUGCCAGCAGCCGCGGUAAUACGGAGGGUGCAAGCGUUAAUCGGAAUUACUGGGCGUAAAGCGCACGCAGGCGGUCUGUCAAGUCGGAUGUGAAAUCCCCGGGCUCAACCUGGGAACUGCAUCCGAAACUGGCAGGCUUGAGUCUUGUAGAGGGGGGUAGAAUUCCAGGUGUAGCGGUGAAAUGCGUAGAGAUCUGGAGGAAUACCGGUGGCGAAGGCGACCCCCUGGACAAAGACUGACGCUCAGGUGCGAAAGCGUGGGGAGCAAACA
rnacentral:rRNA from 1 species